UGGUAUGCACUGGCUUCGCUGAUUCCUCCUUUCUGAAGAACUGUAAUGCCAUUAAUUUGGUGUUGCAGGGAAACAGGACUGUUACUUUGAAAAAAUUAGAGUGUUUAAAGCAGGCUAACGCUUGAAUACAUUAGCAUGGAAUAAUGAAAUAGGACGUUUGAUCCUAUUUUGUUGGUUUCUAGGAUUGACGUAAUGAUUAAUAGGGAUAGUUGGGGGCAUUAGUAUUCAAUUGUCAGAGGUGAAAUUCUUGGAUUUAUUGAAGACUGACUACUGCGAAAGCAUUUGCCAAGGAUGUUUUCAUUAAUCAAGAACGAAAGUUAGGGGAUCGAAGACGAUCAGAUACCGUCGUAGUCUUAACCAUAAACUAUGCCGACUAGGGAUCGGAUGAUGUUAAUUUUUUAAUGACUCAUUCG
rnacentral:rRNA from 1 species